rnacentral:tRNA from 1 species
GCCUGCCUAGCUCAAUCGGAUAGAGCGUCAGACUUUUAAGGCAAGGCCAUCUGAAGGCUGCGGGUUCGACCCCCGCGGUGGGCU